GAAGCGUGUUUGGUCAGUCUGGUGCAUUAGAAGAAGCGGGUUUGGUCAGUUUGGUGAACUAGAAGAAGGGGGAUUGGUCAGUUUGGUGAAUUAGCAGAAGCGGGAUUGCUCAGUUUGGUUAAUUAGAAGAAGCGGGAUUGGUCCAUUUGUUAAUUUAUAAGAACCGGGAUUAGUCGGUUUGGUGAAUUAGCAGAAGCGAGAUUAGUCAGAUUGGUGAAUAAGAAGAAGUGGUUUUGGUCAGUUUGGUAAAUUAGAAGAACCGUGAUUGGUCAAUUUGGUGAAUUAGAAGAAGUGGGUUUGGUCAGUUUGGUGAAUUAGAAGAAGCGGGUUUGGUCAGUAUGGUGAAUUAGAAGUGGGAUUGGACAGUUUGGUAAUUUAUUAGAACCGGGAUUAGUUAAUUUGGUGAAUUAGCAGAAGCUGGAUUGUUAGUUAAAGUUUCAUUAUGUAGUGCUUUUCUAGACACUCAAAGUGCUUUACAUAGUAUGGGGGGGGGAUCUCCUCAUCCACUAGUGUGUAGCAUCUACAUGGAUGAUGCAAUGGCAGCAAUAGUGUGCCAAAAUGCCCACCACACACCAGCUAUUAGCAAAGAUGAGAGGAGAGGAGAGUGAUGUAGCCUAUUCAGAGAUGGGAAAUAUUAGAGCAAUAUUAGGGCCAUGAUAGAGCAGGGCCAAUGGGGGAAUUUUGCCAGGACACCGGGGGUUGUACCCCUACUCUUUACGAUAAGUGUCCUGGGACACCUCGGUUUAACGUCUCAUCCGAAAGACAGGAUUGAUCAGUUCAGUGAAUUAGCAGGAACAGGAUUGGUCAGUUCAGUGAAUUAGCACUUCCAUUCUGACAGAUGGAGAUUUCACACACAGAGCUUUCACACCUCGUAACAGUGCACGCACACACACACACACACACACACACACACACACACCCUUUGGACAGAUCUUUCUGCAUGUCCACAACACACUCACAUUGAUGACAUUAUUAACACUAGCCAGACCUUCAACCCCGCGGUGUUCAAUACACACGAUGCUAACAGUUUUGCUGCUGUAUUGACAUUUUUAUACCCUCGUUAGUCUCCAUAAUGAGCACUGCAGAAAUAAUUCUGUGUUUAUGAGGUGUAAUGUAUGUAUUCCCUUCUGUGAAAACAAGGAUUAAUGAAAUGAAAUGGAGGAGGAAGAGGUGAUGAGGGAGGAUGAGGAGGUGAUGAAGAGUGGAUGAUGAGGCGAUGAGGGAGGAUGAGGAGGUGAUGAAGAGAGGAUGAGAGGUGAUGAAGAGUGGAUGAGGAGGUGAUGAAGAGUGGAUGAGGAGGUGAUGAAGGAGGAUGAGGAGGUGAUGAAGAGAGGAUGAGGAGGUGAUGAGAGGAUGAGGAGGUGAUGAAGGAGGAUGAGGAGGUGAUGAAGGAGGAUGAGGGGGUCGAGGUCACCCGCGGCUGAAAUGUACACAGGAAGAAAUUGUGAUGAAAGAGGAAACAUAAAACACACCAGUGUAUCAGAUUUCUCUCAUAGUCUCUCCUCUCCUGAUUGAUUUUCUCUCCAUUUUCAUUCCCAUUAUUUGUCCCCUUUUUCUAACAAUUAUCUUUCUUUUUCCCUCCGUCCUUUUCUCUGUUUUUCAACUGCUCUUUUUUCUCUCUCAUUUCAUUUGUCCUCCCUCAUUUUGAUAUCUCUUUCCCCCCUUCUCUAUCAUUCUUCCUCUUUAUAUCUCUCCCGGCUUUCUCCACCUGUCCUUUUUCUCCAUCUCCCUCCUUCACGCCCUCACUCUCUGUCUCUCUCUUUCUGUCUGUAUGUCUCUUCUUCUGUCUUCCUUUCUCUCUGUACGUGUCGCUCUCUCUCUCUCUAUGUCUGUCUCGCUCUAUUACUGUUUCUAUCUUUGUCUCUCUCUCACUUUAUCUGUCUCUCUUCCUGUCUGGCUGCCUCUUGGUCUCAGUCUUUGUCUCUAUUUCUGUCUCUAUUUGUCUCUCUGUCUGUCAGUUUCCUUUUAUUCCCUCCUUCCCUUCUCUUACCAAUUUCCUUGUUAUUUUUCCUCCCCUUUCUUCCUAUUUCUUUCACUUCCCCUCUACACUAUUCUACACUAGAUGGUAGAUUUCAUAGUGCAUAGUGUAAGUGCUUAGCACAGUUUAGCGGUUAGCACGUCUACCUCGCACCUCCAGGGCUGGGGGUUCAAUUCCCACCGCUGCUCUGUGUGUGCGGAGUUUGCAUGUUCUCCCAGUGCUACUGGGUACUCUGGUUUCCUUACCCCAGUCCAAAGACAUGUAGGCUGAUUGGCAUUUCCAAAUUGUCUGUAGAGUUUGUCCAGGGUGUCCACCACCUCAUGACUUGAGUUACUUGGGAUAAACUCCAGGAUCCACCUGAUAA
ensembl:lncRNA